rnacentral:misc_RNA from 1 species
AACGGUCUAUACCUGCGGUACCUGCGGAAGGAUCAUUACUGAGUUCAUGCCCAACCGGGUAGACCUCCCACCCUGUGUAUACAUACGCUGUUGCUUUGGCGGGCCGCCUCUCCGGCUACCGGCUCCGGCUGGUACGUGCCCGCCAGAGGACCCCAAACUCUGAAUGUGAGUGUCGUCUGAGUACUAUCUAAUAGUUAAAACUUUUAACAAUGGAUCUCU